AUUCCUAGGCAACAGAGCAAGAUCCUGUCUCUGAAAAAAAAAAAAAUGCCAUCCAGACGGCAUCCUGCUGCAUGCAGCUGGAAGAUGCAGCCCCUUUUAUUUUCUGGGAGGCAACCAUAGGAAAACAAAGUGUGAGUGGCCAUAAUUUACUGGGCUCCUGGGUAAAUUUGUAUUUCAUUCUGAUUAUUGAAUGUGUCGCCUAAUUGCAGCUAUAAAAAGGAAUAGUCCAUCUUCCCCAUGAAAGCCCAUUGCUGGCUGAUUGUUGUUUAAUUAGUUGAUUCCAGUGGUCGAGGGGUGAGUUUGGAAUUACAAUUACAACUCCUAUUAUUUCAGGGAGAUUGUUGAAUUAAUUAGUAGGACAAUAGGAUUCCUCAUAGUUGACAUCUUAAGAAUCCACAAUGAUAACUUUAAAAUUGGUUGCAAACAUGAAAAUAGGUGAUAGAUUUGUCUUCUCUGCCAGGUGACGCUAGACUUCAGGAAGACCCCCCAUUUCUGCUCCCCUCCUGGGCUUGGAGAAGAGUACAGCUGCUCUUGACUGGUGGGACCUUUUGCUGGCUAGGGGUGAUGGGAGAAGCAAGAGAGGGAUCCACACACCUGCGCUUAGCUUUCUAUGACCUGGGCGGAUGGAGGCCAAAGGAGUCACCAGAAGCAUCUUCUCCGCUGGAUAUAAAAGAGAAAUAUUGCGCUUUAGCUGGCUUCAGCAAGAAAGGAAAGAUUCUGUCCUCACCUUGGUGCAUAUGUGGAGAGGCGGGGCAGGCACAGUGCUGUCCUGAACUUGCAUCCUGUGGAGUUGCUGUGGUCUAGAGACAUGUGGAGCAUGGGGUGGAGGAGAGCCAGGUGGGUUUCUGAGGGGGUGAGUGGACUGUGGCCUGAGAGGGGUGUGUGGAGGGCAGAAGUCCUAUGGGAAGAGUGGGAUGAUGGAGAUCUCUUGGGUUAGAAGGGGCUUCUUCUGGUUCUGAAGGCAGUUGCCCAAUAAAGGUGGAUGGGAGCCCAUUCCAGACACCAUCUCGGGGGGUUCGUCUUUUCCUUUUUCUCCACUAGCCUCUUACCUGAUCUUCCAGGGCUAGGUGUCCUUCAGGGGCCAAAGGGGCUGGGGAGUUUCUUGGAAGGCAGAUCAUUAAGAUUUAAUGGGACAUUUCCUGCCAGGCAGAGGGAUUGUAAAAUGCAGCUAAUUUAGAGAGCCAGGGGAUCACAGAGUCAUUUUGCCUUUCGUUGGGAAAGGCCAGACAUGAAAUUAUGCCAAUCCCUGCCCUCCUGUCUUCAGUCCUCCCCAAUUAUACCACUGGGCAGCUGCUGAGCUGGCCCAGAGUAUCUGCUGGACAGAGCCCUUCCCUGCUGGCGGCAGGGGCAGGUGGGUGUUUAGCUGGCUGAGGGCUUAGUGAGGAAAGUGGUGUUGGAGCAGCAUCUACGCAGCCACAAGCCCUUGUGCAGUGCUCGGAUUUCUCAGCUCGGCCCCAGGACCAUAGCCACAGCCCAGACUUCCUUUCCUCCAUCCCCUGUAGUGGCUUCUCAGAGCCUUGGUCUGGCAGGGUCCUUUCCUUUCAGCAGAGUGAGUUGGACAGUUGAAGGAAGUGAGUUGGUAAAGGGGUAGUGGCAAUUGUGUGUCUGUGUGUGUGCAUGUGUGUGCAUGCGUGAGACAGAGACAUAGAGAUGAACAGAGAGACAAAGGCAGGGAGAAGGAGAGAAACACGACCAGAGGGCAGGGAAGUAGAAGGGCACCUGUUGCCUCCCCUGGGGCUGGGCUGUUUGGUUGAAGUUGAUCUCAGCUGUGUGUCUUUACCCAUAGGUGACAGGAAAUGAGAACAUGGAGGGAUAGAUGUGGGCACAGCCUAGGGAGAGGAAAGGGGAGGUGAGAAGUUACAACAGCAGUGGGAUCCUUUGGGGCCCUUGGGCUGAGAUGCUGGAUCAGUGCUGCCCAAGAAGCUGGAGUUUAGAGCUGCUCCUAGGUGUGCAAGGGAAAUAGCCAUAGAUGUGGACACCAAGAGGUUCUGCCACACACAACAUGCAUGACCUCUGUGAGGUCCCAUAAAAAUGAGGAUACCAUUGCAACCUUACACGUAACACAGCUGAAGCUUCUAGAACAUACAGGGCAUCCAGUAAGUCCAUGUUCCACCUUCCCUCCCUUCCAUAGAGGGGGAUACACGGAUGCUUAGUACAGUGCCAGACACAUGCUUGGCACUCAGUACAACUUGGUGGAAUUGGAUUCCGAAUCCCAACAGCCACUCAGCCACUGCCCCUCGGCCUUGGGAGCUGGAGUCAGGCAGAGCUGAGGGUUGCACCCAG